rnacentral:rRNA from 1 species
UACGUAGGGUGCAAGCGUUAAUCGGAUUUACUGGGCGUAAAGCGUGCGCAGGCGGCCCUCCAAGUCAGGUGUGAAAGCCCCGGGCUUAACCUGGGAAUGGCGCUUGAAACUGGAGGGCUAGAGUCUGCCAGAGGGGGGUGGAAUUCCACGUGUAGCAGUGAAAUGCGUAGAGAUGUGGAGGAACACCGAUGGCGAAGGCAGCCCCCUGGGGUAAGACUGACGCUCAGGCACGAAAGCGUGGGGAGCAAACAGG